UACGUAGGGGGCGAGCGUUGUCCGGAGUUACUGGGCGUAAAGCGCACGCAGGCGGUCUGUUAAGUUUGGAGUGACAGUUGGUGGCUUAACUGCCAAAGUGCUUCGAAAACUGACAGACUUGAGGGCUUCAGAGGGACACGGAAUUCCGGGUGGAGUGGUGAAAUGCGUUGAUAUCGGAAGGAACGCCGGUGGCGAAAGCGGUCCGCUGGCCCUCUACUGACGCUGAGGCGCGAAAGCCAGGGGAGCAAACGGG
rnacentral:rRNA from 1 species